rfam:Capsicum annuum cultivar Zunla-1 chromosome 1, whole genome shotgun sequence
UAAUGAUGGUGAGGGUAAUUUCUGAGCAUACUAUUAAAUCUCUCCCAAGCUUGGUAGAGAUUCUCUCCCUUUUUCUGUCUAAAACUCAAAAUCUCACUUCUCAAAUG